UGUUCGGCUGAAAGGUCAAUAUCAGCUGGUAAUUCUGGGCUUUCCAAACCCGUUGUCGCUUCCCGGGAUUCCAACUGAUAUCCACUUUUUAGUCGAA
rnacentral:pre_miRNA from 14 species